GAUGAACGCUGGCGGCGUGCCUAAUACAUGCAAGUCGAGCGAACAGACGAGGAGCUUGCUCCUCUGACGUUAGCGGCGGACGGGUGAGUAACACGUGGAUAACCUACCUAUAAGACUGGGAUAACUUCGGGAAACCGGAGCUAAUACCGGAUAAUAUAUUGAACCGCAUGGUUCAAUAGUGAAAGACGGUUUUGCUGUCACUUAUAGAUGGAUCCGCGCCGCAUUAGCUAGUUGGUAAGGUAACGGCUUACCAAGGCAACGAUGCGUAGCCGACCUGAGAGGGUGAUCGCCCACCCUGGAACUGAGACACGGUCCAGACUCCUACGGGAGGCAGCAGUAGGGAAUCUUCCGCAAUGGGCGAAAGCCUGACGGAGCAACGCCGCGUGAGUGAUGAAGGUCUUCGGAUCGUAAAACUCUGUUAUUAGGGAAGAACAAAUGUGUAAGUAACUAUGCACGUCUUGACGGUACCUAAUCAGAAAGCCACGGCUAACUACGUG
rnacentral:rRNA from 1 species